CACCAUAGAUGGCUUUUCCCAACGUUUUAGCCUGCUGUUGCCGUUGCUAAUUGUUGCAGUAGGUAUAUUUGUUCUUCUCUAUCACAACAAUAUUCUAAAAUGUUGCCAUAGAUAUUAAGAAAUGUUGCCAAAAAAUAAUAUUUAUUAUUUUAUUUAUGAGGUGUCACUUUGAGGCCACUCUAAUGACAUUUUAUCUAGUGUCAAUUCCGUGAUCAAAUCUUUGCCUACUUAUCCCCCGUUAAUUGAAUAGUAGCCCGAAAAGUGAAAUAAUUUUAAAAAAUUGUUUUAAGCUUUAUUUGUGAAAAUAAAAGAAUGAUUUAAAAAUAUUAUUUUUACAAACAUAAUAUAUUCGGGAUUUUUAGAAUUUUUCUAAAUUUGAAAAAUAUUUAUGGACUCCUAAAUUCAUUUAUUUGUUAUAUAUAGCUUUUAUAUUUGUUAAAACCAGUUUACACUUUACAAGCAGAGUAGUCGGUUCAAUUUGGGGAUAAAAACAGAGGUUAGGGUUCUCAAACCCAUUUGGCCGAUCGAUUCAAUCAGAGGUGAGAUUAAUUGUGUGCGUGUGUUUAUCUCUAUAUGUAUAGUUUGUAUGUAUAAUUGGGGAUAAUGGUUACUGGUAUUCUUUGGCGGCGGUGAUGUUUUUGUGUCUAGCGGCGGAGGACGGCUUUAGAGGCGACGCCGUCAGUAAUCGGAGGGAUUAUAGCUGAUAGGAGGAUCUGGACACGAGAGGCGUCCAGAUUUGUUUGAUUUCUGGGGUAAAUGGUAGUGUGUGGCUGGGGAAUUGAUAUGCGGUCUCGGCUUUACUCUGGCCGGAAGUGUUGCGGCGUGGGGAUGAGCAGCGACGGCGUCUACUCGAUGACGGGUGGUAUACGAAGAUGUGGUAAAAGGUGGAUUGGAUCCCAAGAAGGAACCAAGAAUUUCAGGCCAAAGUGUUUAUGAGUGGUAAAUGAUUUCUUAAUUUUUGUUCAUAGCUUUUGGCAUAUGGGAGAAGUAUGUAAGAAAGACUGUGAAUCAUUAGUUAUUGAUUAUAAAUUUUUUUGAAGAAAUAGUUAUCACUUGUUUUCUUUUUGAUGGUUUUAACUUUUAAUUUUUAUCUGUUAGACUAUAUAUAAUGACUACUUUAAUAUUACAGAUCUCUGAGGAAAAUUGCAGUGCUUGUCCUUGAUGUUUUGUUACCAGAAUGAUGGUGUUUUGAGGAUAUGUAGCUUAAUAUUUCUUGAGCAAUAUCCUCUAGUUGAAAUAGGCAGGAAUAGUAAUUUGUAUAUGAUGCUGUGAAGUCGAUGACUUAGCACAAUGUUGGAGCCUUGGUAGUGCUAAGACCUGGGGAGCAAAAUGCAGUUGCUGGAAUCGUCACAUAAAGAGCUAUCUUGGAUGAUAAACUUAUUAAGAUGAGAGAACAGUUUGUAGCUGGUGUUGACGAGGAUUUGGAGGACAAACUUCACCCGGGAGGUCCAUCUGAUCCAUUGGGACUAGCAGAUGACCUUGAUCAGGCUGCACUUCUCGAGGUAAAGGAGGUCAAGAAGACUUGCAAUGUUUGCGAUGCUCGGAUUCUUGUUGCUUGGUUAAGUGUUGGCAUCAAGUAGUAGUAGGGACUAGGGAUGUAUAUUGUGGAUGUUGAUUUUGGAAUGGAAGGAAAUUUAUGUAUUCAAACUGUACCUUUUAAUUUGAUAAUUUAAAAACUAUUGCAGUUAGUAUAAAA